AUUGAACGCUGGCGGCAGGCCUAACACAUGCAAGUCGAGCGGGGUUUUCGGGCCUAGCGGCGGACGGGUGAGUAAUGCGUAGGAAGCUACCCGAUAGAGGGGGAUACCAGUUGGAAACGACUGUUAAUACCGCAUAAUGUCUACGGACCAAAGUGUGGGACCUUCGGGCCACAUGCUAUCGGAUGCGCCUACGUGGGAUUAGCUAGUUGGUGAGGUAAUGGCUCACCAAGGCGACGAUCCCUAGCUGGUUUGAGAGGAUGAUCAGCCACACUGGAACUGAGACACGGUCCAGACUCCUACGGGAGGCAGCAGUGGGGAAUAUUGGACAAUGGGCGCAAGCCUGAUCCAGCCAUGCCGCGUGUGUGAAGAAGGCCUUCGGGUUGUAAAGCACUUGCAGCGAGGAGGAAGGGGUGAGCGUUAAUAGUACUCAUCUUUGACGUUACUCGCAGAAGAAGCACCGGCUAACUCUGUGCCAGCCGCCGCCGUAACAC
rnacentral:rRNA from 1 species